rnacentral:tRNA from 1 species
CGCGGGGUGGAGCAGCUCGUAGCUCGUCGGGCUCAUAACCCGAAGGUCGUCGGUUCAAAUCCGGCCCCCCGCAACCA